rnacentral:rRNA from 1 species
CCUACGGGGGGCAGCAGUGGGGGAUAUUGCACAAUGGGGGGAACCCUGAUGCAGCGACGCCGCGUGGGUGAAGGAGUGCUUCGGCAUGUAAAGCCCUAUCGGCAGGGAAGAAGCAAGACGGUACCUGACUAAGAAGCCCCGGCCAACUACGUGCCAGCAGCCGCGGUAAUACGUAGGGGGCAAGCGUUAUCCGGAUUUACUGGGUGUAAAGGGGGCGCAGACGGCAAUGCAAGCCAGGAGUGAAAGCCCGGGGCCCAACCCCGGGACUGCUCUUGGAACUGCAUGGCGGGAGUACAGGAGGGGCAGGCGGAAUUCCUAGUGUAGCGGUGAAAUGCGUAGAUAUUAGGAGGAACACCGGUGGCGAAGGCGGCCUGCUGGACUGUGACUGACGUUGAGGCCCGAAGGCGUGGGGAGCAAACAGGAUUAGAUACCCUGGUAGUC